GGGGAGAAGGGAGGGGGAGGCACGUCCACCCCUCGGCUGCGGUUCUUCGGGGACCUCAAGACCUGGCUGCCGUUAACCCUUUGCGGCUCGAUCCCGCCCCGGUUAUUGCGUAACUAUUUUCGACAAUGUCCUCGGCCGCGGUUCUUCGGGGAUUUUGGGACCCACGUAAUGGCCACGCUUUGCGGUCCAAUUUGCCGCCUCGGUUGCGGAACCGCGCGAUCCACCUUUAUUUCUCGCUUUUAGCAUUUCUUUCUUCCAUUUUUUUUUCCACCAAGAGAAUUGGGAUUAUGACGAGGGUCCGGUUAUGAAC